rnacentral:rRNA from 1 species
AUUCCAGCUCCAAUAGCGUAUAUUAAAGUUGUUGCGGUUAAAAAGCUCGUAGUUGGAUUUCUGCUAGGGACGAUCGGUCCACCCACUGGGUGUGUAUCUGUGUCGGCCUUGGCAUCUUCCUGGCGAACGCAACUGCACUUGACUGUGUGGUGCGGUAUCCAGGACUUUUACUUUGAGGAAAUUAGAGUGUUUCAAGCAGGCGCACGCCUUGAAUACAUUAGCAUGGAAUAAUAAGAUAGGACCUGAGUUCUAUUUUGUUGGUUUCUAGAGCUGAGGUAAUGAUUAAUAGGGAUAGUUGGGGGCAUUCGUAUUUAACAGUCAGAGGUGAAAUUCUUGGAUUUGUUAAAGACGGACUACUGCGAAAGCAUUUGCCAAGGAUGUUUUCAUUA